rnacentral:rRNA from 1 species
UACAGAGGUCCCCAAGCGUUGUUCGGAUUCACUGGGCGUAAAGGGUGCGUAGGUGGUCAGGUAAGUUUGGUGUGAAAUCUCCGAGCUUAACUCGGAAACGGCACUAAAAACUACUUGGCUGGAGGGUCGGAAGGGGGGCUGGAAUUCUCGGUGUAGCAGUGAAAUGCGUAGAUAUCAAGUGGAACACCAGUGGCGAAGGCGAGUCCCUGGACAACUCCUGACACUGAGGCACGAAAGCUAGGGGAGCAAACAGGAUUAGAAACCCGAGUAGU